CCGGAUUUUGUGGGCUUCAAGCUCAUUUUGGUCCUCUCAUUCAAUUCAUGCAAUGAAUCUUGAAACACAAAAAUAAUGCUUUCUUUAGUCUUUCACCAAACAAUUAACAGAAAAGAUGUUAGCUUUUGUUUAUCAGAACUUGAUAUAGCAUCAAAUGAAUUACACAACACAUAUAAAUUUAGAUACAUAGAGUGGAAUUCUUGGUUCUCUUGGUCUGUUCACUCUCCAAGGCGGAUUGUUAGAAUGUCUGCAAUUGAUACCAGAAAUCCAAGUACAUUGUUCCAAUCAAUGACAAUAAAGCCUCCUUCACAUCCUACCUAUGAUUUGAAGGGAGUCAUUAAGCUAGCUCUUGCUGAAGAUGCUGGAGAUCGAGGAGAUGUGACUUGUAUCGCAACCGUUCCAUCUGAAAUGGAAGUGGAAGCCUAUUUCUUGGCAAAAGAGGAUGGUAUCAUUGCAGGAAUUGCAUUAGCCGAAAUGCUGUUCCAUGAGGUCGAUCCCUCUCUGACGGUGGAAUGGUCUCGGAAAGAUGGAGAUUAUGUACAUAAAGGACUACAGUUUGGAAAAGUCUCUGGGCGAGCGCAUAAUAUUGUUGUAGCUGAAAGGGUAGCACUAAACUUUAUGCAGAGGAUGAGUGGAAUAGCAACUCUAACUAAGGCAAUGGCGGAUGCUGCAAGCCCGGCGUGUAUCCUAGAGACUCGAAAAACAGCUCCAGGUCUACGUUUGGUAGAUAAGUGGGCGGUGCUGAUUGGUGGAGGGAAAAAUCACAGGAUGGGUUUAUUUGAUAUGGUUAUGAUAAAAGAUAAUCAUAUAUCAAUAGCAGGAGGUAUCAUAAAUGCCAUCAGAUCUGUUGAUCAGUAUCUAGAGCAAAAGAAUCUUCAAAUGGAGGUUGAGGUUGAGACCAGAACACUUGAGGAAGUAAAUGAGGUGUUACAUUAUACAUCACAAACAAGGACUUCUGUGACCAGGAUAAUGUUGGACAAUAUGGUUAUACCACUACCAAAUGGGGAUGUCGAUGUAACAAUGCUUAAAAAUGCUGUGGAAUUGAUUAAUGGAAGAUUUGAGACUGAGGCAUCAGGCAAUGUUACUCUUGAAACUGUACACAAAAUUGGACAGACUGGAGUAACCUACAUUUCUAGUGGCGCGCUUACACAUUCGGUAAAAGCACUUGACAUCUCUCUCAAAAUUGACACGGACUUGGCUCUUCAAGUUGGAAGGCGUACUAAACGGGCAUGAUUAUACUCUGCUUCUUCCUUCUGACUUAUAUAGUGGAUCAUCUCUCAGCUUAUAGUGAUUUGAAGAACUGAAUUGAUAUAGUUUAUUAAGGUCACCAUGUCGUUAUUCUAGUCAGAAAUACAGCAUGGAAAUUGGGAAUAAAGGACAACCCAUGCAUGAAAUGUUGUGGGAAAUACACGAACUUCUAUGUAUGCACAUUUCACUAAAUUCACAAGUUGGAAGAGGAUAUGGGGCAUGGAAGUCAUCAUUCUGUCGUCAUUUAGUGACUAGUGAAUGAAGACGAGCAGGACUGUUGCUUACCUAAUACGUGCCCUUGCAUUUUUUUUGUUAUAGGAAUAAUGGCCUCACGUUUUGUUAUGCCAAUAUUGAUUGCCAUUGUAACAUUACGGACAAUAUAGCUACUUGGCUAUGGCUGCAUGAACAAGAUAUUUAUUUCCAUCAA